AUACGGAGGGUGCAAGCGUUGUUCGGAAUUACUGGGCGUAAAGCGCGUGUAGGUGGCUUGGCAAGUCGGAUGUGAAAGCCCGGGGCUCAACCCCGGAACUGCAUCCGAAACUGCCUGGCUAGAGUCCCUGAGAGGAAGGCAGAAUUCCCAGUGUAGGGGUGAAAUCCGUAGAUAUUGGGAGGAAUACCAGUGGCGAAGGCGGCCUUCUGGACGGUGACUGACACUCAGACGCGAAAGCGUGGGGAGCAAACAGCAUUAGAAACCCGGGUAGUCC
rnacentral:rRNA from 1 species